CCUACGGGGGGCAGCAGUGGGGAAUAUUGCGCAAUGGGCGAAAGCCUGACGCAGCGACGCCGCGUGAGGGAUGAAGGUCUUCGGAUCGUAAACCUCUGUCAGCAGGGAAGAACGGUCACUGUGCUAAUCAGCAGUGAAUUGACGGUACCUGCAAAGGAAGCACCGGCUAACUCCGUGCCAGCAGCCGCGGUAAUACGGAGGGUGCGAGCGUUAAUCGGAAUUACUGGGCGUAAAGCGCUCGUAGGCGGUAUGUCAAGUCAAGGGUGAAAUCCCCGCGCUCAACGUGGGAACUGCCUUUGAAACUGGUAAACUGGAGUGUGUGAGAGGAUAGUGGAAUUCCAGGUGUAGGAGUGAAAUGCGUAGAUAUCUGGAGGAACAUCAGUGGCGAAGGCGACUAUCUGGCACAUAACUGACGCUGAGGAGCGAAAGCGUGGGUAGCAAACAGGAUUAGAUACCCGAGUAGUC
rnacentral:rRNA from 1 species